UUUGUAAGAAUUUGACAAUUUUAGACAUUUCAUAUGAGUGUGAUUUAGCAGUAUUUGUCCUUUUGUGUUGGCUUAUUUCACUUAGCAUAAUGUUUUCAAGGUUCAUCCAGAUUGUAGCAUGAAUCAGAAUUUUGGACACAUUCCUUUUAAACAGCUAAAUAAUAUUCUACUGUAUGGAUAUAGCAUAUUUAUAUGUCCACUCAACUGUUGGUGGACAUGGGCUGUCUCUACCUUUUGAUUAUUGUGAGUAAUGCUGUAGUGAACAUUGGCAUUGUAGCUGACAACAUGACGUGUGAAAGGCGGAGGGGGGACGGAUGAAGAGUUCUGCUGUCUUCAUCUUACAAAGUGAGAGAGAAGUUCGGGAGUAUCUCAGGAUGAUGGAAAAGACUAUUUCAAUUUACAAAGACAACCAAUGGACCAAAGAAAAGCAAGGAUGGAACUACCGUGCGAGUUAACAGAUAUCUUCAAAGAUAGAAUUAACUACCUGAAGACUUGUAAUCACCCGUGAUAAAGAGAUUGCUUCUGUGAUGGAA